UUCACAUAAACCUCAACCGACUGCUUUUUUGGGUGGGUAGGUGAUAAAUGUCUUUGUUAUCAAAUAAUUUGGAUAAAAGAUCAAGUUUGAGAUGGAUCAGACAUCUGAGCAUGUUGUGAAGGAAGAGGUUCAUCUGAAAACCGAAUGCAAGAUCAAAGGGGCAGAUGAAGAAAAAGUCGAAAAAGAGAUGGAUUUGAAAAUUAAAUCAGUUGAGAAAGAGAAGCCAAAACAU
rnacentral:lncRNA from 1 species